UACGUAGGGGGCUAGCGUUGCCCGGAAUCAUUGGGCGUAAAGAGCGUGUAGGCGGCCCGGUAAGUCCGCUGUAAAAGUCAAAGGCUCAACCUUUGAAUGUCAGUGGAUACUGCCGGGCUAGAGUCCGGAAGAGGCGAGUGGAACUCCUGGUGUAGCGGUGGAAUGCGCAGAUAUCAGGAGGAACACCAAUUGCGAAGGCAGCUCGCUGGGACGUUACUGACGCUGAGACGCGAAAGCGUGGGGAGCAAACAGG
rnacentral:rRNA from 1 species